AGUAGAUGACUAAGGCUUGCUAGAGCUCAGAGGAUAAGGUUUAAACCCUUUCCUCUCUUUCUCUCUCUAGGAUUACUAUGUUGAAGCAAGGAUUGAUAGAUUUGAGCUUAGUUAAUCCUUCUUUUUGGUGCUUGCUGGUUUGAGUGACUUGGAGCAGCUGUGGGAAGGUGAGAAGGAAUCUUGAGAAAGGUAUUUUCGCAGCCCUAACUCAGUAGGAAACUAAGUUGAAGUUUGAUAAGGUGAGAUACACAACUUCUCUCAAGUUAUUAGCCAUAGUAGUGAAGUUGAUGAUAAUUUGGGUUUCUUGUUGCGAGCUUGUUUGAGGGGAGGUCCCAGCAGCUGAAAAAGCAGAGUUGGGCUGUAGUUCUUCAACCCUAAACCAGAGAAAAAGCUAAAGUGAAGCUUGAAAGCAGCCUUGGAAUUUAUUUUGAACUGAAUAUUGGGACUCUUAUGAGCUGAUUUAAUUUGAGGUGUUUCAAUCAGGGGUUGAGCUGAACUAAACUUAUUGGAAGAUUCGCAGCAGAGAAUUAGACCCUUUUGGGCUGAGCUUGUGGUCAUCAAAGAUUGUAGCAGGUUCACAGUGGACCACUUGAUCUUUUCGAGUUAAUUUGGGAAGCUUUCAAAGGUUGGAAUUGGUGUUCUACCUUGAUCCGAAGUGAGGGUUCAAGUAUUAACACUCUACUAGGGUACUUGGAAGCUGCGGAUUACCCUUGUUCGUGGGGUCGACAUGAGUUGACGACUACUUGUAGUUUGCAUGCCAUUGUGCUCUUUCGCACACGCUUGUAGGGGUCGCGCACCCUAAGCCAGCGCUCCGGAGUGGCUUAGUGACAGAUUGCUCGCAUAUGUACGAUUUGAGCGUCGAAGUGGAUUGCCAUGGGUAGUGUUGACUUCCACGGGGCCACUAGGCACGGCGCGGCUAUGACUUUAUCCUGUAGCCUUCCACAGCGGAAAAGACUAGAAAUUCCUGGCGAGGGGUCAGCGGCUAAUUAGAACCUUCUCGAUGUUAUAUAGAUGAACCUCUACUAGUUUAUUUUGAGUUUAGCUCAAUGUUGUAUGUUGGAUUUAUGUAGAAUGCAUUUUACUUUUAAAUUGUAAUAAGGUUUUGUUUUGUAUGAGUUUACUAUAUUAGUAAGUUAUGCUCUGAUUACCUAGUUAGAA